rnacentral:rRNA from 1 species
AUUGAACGCUGGCGGAAUGCUUUACACAUGCAAGUCGAACGGUAGAGGGGGCAACCCCUUGAGAGUGGCGAACGGGUGAGUAAUAUAUCGGAACGUGCCCAGUCGUGGGGAUAACGUAGCGAAAGCUACGCUAAUACCGCAUACGAUCUAUGGAUGAAAGCGGGGGAUCGCAAGACCUCGCGCGAUUGGAGCGGCCGAUAUCAGAUUAGGUAGUUGGUGAGGUAAAGGCUCGACCAAGCCGACGAUCUGUAGCUGGUCUGAGAGGACGACCAGCCACACUGGGACUGAGACACGGCCCAGACUCCUACGGGAGGCAGCAGUGGGGAAUUUUU